CCUGCCCUAUAGUUAUAGGUAUGGCUGCUGUGUCAGUAGGGGGCAAAGAGGAGAGAGGCUAUGUCUACACUUAGUGUUCUGACCUAUUGACAUCUGAAUGAUUAGUAGUCUAGCAUU
ensembl:snoRNA Gm24781 predicted gene, 24781